AGGUGUCAUGGUGUCAUUCCUAGGUGUCAUGUGAUCACACCUAGGAAAUGACCGCGUUGAAACUCACACUUACUGCCCCGUAUACUCUUCAUAGCUGGAUAAUAACGUCUGGGCUUAGCAAAAUCAAACCUUCUGACUAUCAACUAUGAUUCUGUUGCAGAGCAGCCCUUUGAGCGCGGCUCUAGUGGACAUGAGAUAAGAUCUAUUUUUGUUAAUAAAUAUUUAGCAGCCGGGCAAUCCGUGGGUAUUAAAAUCUAUGUAGAAUAAUUUUAUAGUUCUAUAAACCUACUUUCAGAAACUGGCCGCAACAAAAGAAAUGGCUCACUUAUAAAAUAUGUCAAAAUCAAGUGUCACAUUUGAAUGGGAUUCAAAAGAUUAAUUAUUAAAAAUGAACAUAUUUAAGCUUAAUGCAUUAGGAACACUAAUCGGAGCUCCAGGAUCUGGCAGGUCAGGAAGAAAAGGACCAGUAAAAAAGACGGGAAAACCCUUAGAGAAGUUCGGUGCUACCUCAGAAGAGAGCUAUUUCUUAGGGAAACAGAAGGAGCAGUUGGAAAAGUUAAAGAAGGAACUAAAGAAGAAAACAUCGCUGAUGUCUCGGAAAGAGGAGAAGUAAAUAACAGAUGCAAGUAAUGAAAAAUUUAACCAAGAAAAGAGGUAAAAAGUCUACAGUAUCCAAGAAAAAGAAAACGGUAAAGAGUAUUUUAGGAUUCGUGACCAAAACGACGACAGAUAAUAGGAAUAAACCAGAAGUACCAAAGGAUAAUUGAGUAACAGUUUUCGUCUUAGUGAUGUCAGUGUCUUAUGUCUAUUAACUUAUUUUAAUAAAAUAUUAUAUUUUAAUGUA